rnacentral:lncRNA from 1 species
CGUGCUUGAUAUAAAAAAAAUGCAAAGAAAAUCAACUCUGAUCCCAUCAUGCUGUAUGAGCAAUUUGGUGUCUUUCGCAGCUUUGUCAAGGCAUCACUGCAACAGGCAGGCAGUUACCCAAGCACACAGCUUCAGAGGUCAAUUCUCACUAACAGUUUGCUAUGUUUCCCUAGGGGGUUAAAAAAAUGUCAGGGAUCCUGCUCAUCGUGUGAGUCACACUAUGCAGGGGUAUGAAGGGACAGAGAACAAGGUAUGUGUGGAGGUGUCCGGGAGACUGGCAGAGGGUGGUGCAGACAGAACGGUAACAAGACAUUUCGUCUGGGGGCUGGUCGGGCAGGGAGUAAUUACACAGUGCCACAAAAGCCAGGCCUAAACCAACGAGUCAGGGACAGAGACAACAAAGGAACUCCUCCUUUUCCCUCGUGUACAGAAUGAAUUCACGGAGGAGAGGGACUAGAUUCAAGAAUAGACGGAGGCUGUGGCUGGGCUUGGACUGGGCCUAGAGAGCUUUGUUAUUUUUAUUUUUUGAGACAGAGUCUCUCUCUGUUGCCCAGGCUGGAGUGCAGUGACACAAUCUCUGCUCACUGCAACCUCUGCCUCCCAGCUUCAAGUGAUUCUCAUGUCUCAGACUCCCAAGUAGCUGGGACUACAGGUGUGCACCACCACGCCCGGCUAAUUUUUGUACUUUUAGUAGAGAUAGGGUUUCACCAUGUUGGCUAGACUGGUCUCCAACUCCUGACCUCAAGUGAUCCACACACCUCAGCUUCCCAAAGUGCUGGGAUUACAGGUGCCAGCCACUGUACCUGGCCCGGAGUGUUUUUCGGGAGGGUGAGGCAGGAGAAUCACUUGAACCUGGGAGGCGGAGGUUGCAGUGAGCCGAGAUUACACCACUGCACUCCAGCCUGGGACCAAGAAUACCCUAACAGGAUGUGCAAUCCAAUUUUUACGUUCUUACAUUUCCAACCUCACCUAUUACACAAGCAAUGAAAAGCCCAUACAUGGUCCUGUUACUAUGAAUACCAUCUUAACUUUCCAAGCCCCUUUAUGCAUCCAACGCAACCUGUUACUCAAACAGCUCCAUUCAGAUGGCUUGUCUGCUUCUCAGCGCCUCCAAAAAUCAUCACCUCUUCCCUGCUUAACAAACAGUCCAGGUUUUGUAAUGGCAAACAUACUCCCUGCAUGACCAUUCACCCCUGGACCCCCUGCGGCAGCGCCCCCACCACUAGUG